GAGACCAAGAUGGCCGCGAGACUCCGCGCCUUUUUCAAGAAUGCCUGGGCCAAGGAGCCGGUGCUCGUCGUGUCCUUCGUCAUUGGGAGCCUCAGACCCCCAGGGCCCCAGCCUGGAGUGGCUGAAGAAACUUCACUAACCUGAUCAAUUCUACACAUUGCAUUUGCCCAGGAUGCCUCUCACAUCUUCGAGGGAAACUUGGGACAUGGAGAAAGACGCACACAGACACAGGGAAGACACCACGUAGAGAUAAAGGCAAUGGUGUGGCAGAGGCAUCUACAGGUCAAGGAAUGGCAAAAUGUGUCAGCAAGAUGACAUUCCACCAGAAGCCAAAGAGAAGCAUGAAC